GCAAAUAUAGUUUAACAAAACAUUAGAUUGUGAAUCUAAAAUUAGAGACUAAAACUUUCUUAUUUGCC
rnacentral:tRNA from 1 species